rnacentral:rRNA from 1 species
GGAUUAGAUACCCUGGUAGUCCUAGCUGUAAACGAUGGAUACUAGACGUAGGAACUGGAUUGACGGUUUCUGUGUCGUAGCUAACGCGUUAAGUAUCCCGCCUGGGGAGUACGGUCGCAAGACUAAAACUCAAAUGAAUUGACGGGGACCCGCACAAGCGGUGGAGCAUGUGGUUUAAUUCGAUGCAACGCGAAAAACCUUACCUACACUUGACAUACUUCGAAUUUUCUAGAGAUAGAUUAGUGCCUUCGGGAACGGAGAUACAGGUGCUGCAUGGCUGUCGUCAGCUCGUGCUG